UUUCCCUUUCUGCAAGCUGGAAGCCCUAGGAGAUAGCGAAUCCAAAGAAGAAAGCAACUCAGGUAGUGAAGCACCACAUAGAGAAGCUCUGCCUGCCAACUAGGAAAGACUCCCUUAGACUCGCAGGGGAAGCUAGCUGCAGUGCCAUGAGGACGUCAGUCAGCUCUGUGGAGAGGUCCAGUAAUGAGGAGCUAAGGCCUCCCACCAGCAUUUAGCAAGGAAGCUGAUGGAGGCUUCAGACCAACAGCUACAUAGGGAAUCCAGCUGCCUUGUGAGCUGCUUUGUAGAGAAGUCCAUGUGGCAAGGAGCUAAGUAAGGGAGGCAUCGUGACAACAGCCAGUGAGGAACUGAGGCACUCAGUCUAACAGCUUGGGAGGAAUUGAAUCCUUCCAACAACCUGCAUGUGAGCUUGAGCUUGGAAAUGGACCUUACCUCAGGUGAACUUUUAGGGUCUGAAGGCAACCUGUAAGAAAAAAGGAAUCUAUUUGAAGGCUUUUUCUUCAAGAUAAUGAAGAAUGUGACAUUAGAACACCUGGUAUGGAAUGAUUCCAUCAAAUCCUACCACCCAUACCUCCCUUUACAAUUAAAUUUUCUUGGUGGUUUGGCUA
rnacentral:lncRNA from 1 species